rnacentral:rRNA from 1 species
GAAAAAAAGUACGUACAAGCAGUGGGAGCACGCUUAGGCGUGUGACUGCGUACCUUUUGUAUAAUGGGUCAGCGACUUAUAUUCUGUAGCAAGGUUAACCGAAUAGGGGAGCCGAAGGGAAACCGAGUCUUAACUGGGCGUUAAGUUGCAGGGUAUAGACCCGAAACCAGGUGAUCUAGCCAUGAGCAGGUUGAAGGUUGGGUAACACUAACU